AUUAAAUGUAGGUUACUUGUUCUUUCAGCUUCUACAUUCAGAGUUCCUUAAUUUGUCGUCAAUGAACCACCUGAAUAAAAAACGUAAAUAUGUGACAAUGAAGGUCCACGAAAGCUAGGUGCAAGAUUACAUGAUCAGAUUCUUCACAACACACAGCUAAAUGAAAAUACAGCUACUCUAUGAACCUCAAAGAUCUUUGAUGACACUGCAAAUGACACAAAAGCAACCUAAGCUGUAUGCUUUUUUAGCAUCUACUAUUUAGGAGGGCCACCUUAUAAAAUAGAUUUGAAUCUCAAUAAAAGUCUACUGUAUCCGCAGGAAAAUCCUAAUACCAUUCACUCACACAAAUAAUUUAACUAUCCAUUUCGAGAGGAAAGAAAUAUACCAUGCUCUGGACGGGC
rnacentral:lncRNA from 1 species